CAAAAAGAAAAAAAAUUAAAAUUCUCUCUCCGUAACAGCGCUCACUCGUUUCUCUGCCGAUACUCACCCCUCUCUCCAUACCAACGCUCACUCCUCUCUUUCGGUCUUUCCUCAGAGGUUCCGAGAACUCCUCUCUCCAAUACCAGCGCUAACUCAUCUCUCUGCAGGUACUCACUCCUCUCUCUCGAUCUUUUCUCAGAGGUUCCGAGAACUCCGAUCUCGACCCACGGUCUCAUUCCCUUGCAAUUUUGACCCACACUUUGGUUGUGCCACGGAUAGCAAAGUUGAGGCAAUCCUUUGUCAACUUGCCAGUGAUUUUCUUCCCAUGAUAGAUGAGGUGUAUCAACAAUUAGUUGAAAAGACAAAAUCAACUCCUGGAGCUCUGGUUGAAAACAACAAGUUCUAUCUUUCUGUUCAUUUUCGUUGUGUUGAUGAAAAGGUUAAAUAAGUGACAUUAACUUCAAUGGAGUCAUCUAAUGAAAAGAUGACAGGCAAAAGAAAAGUUUUAGGAAAAAAUAACGAGGAAACAAAAAGUUAUUUUACAUGAAAUUUGGAGAUGGAACGUGUAUUGGUUGAUGUACUUAGAAAUCAAAGGAAUUUGGGCAACAAGGGUGACAGAGGUUGGAAAAGGUCAGCAUUGAAUGCUACAACCGUAGCGUUGUCUACAAGCUUCAAUGUUAAUGUCACCUAAGAUAAUGUCAAAAACCGUAUCAAAUUAUGGAGAUCGUGGAAUGGUAUUGUAAGUGACAUCCUUGUCUAGAAUGGGUUUAAUUGGUAUGGCACUAAGCACAUGAUCACAAUUGAGAAUGAAAAUGCUUGGGAUGAACAAUGCACUUCGCAUAAAUCGGCUAAACCGUUUCGAUUCAAGGUGCUUCAAAACUGGGAUGAUAUAGUGGAUUUGUGUGCUAAAGAUAGAGCCAUUGGUCAUGGAGCUGAAAUGGCUAUGGAUGCUGAUGAAGCGAUGAGUAGAGAAACAAAUAAAGUGGAAUGCAUCGGGUUAGGUGUUACUGCUACCAUAGACUUAGAAGAACCAAGCUCUAAUACAAAAGGAAAAAGACAAGGUUCAACUUGUUCAGGCACACAUUCUCACAAGAGAAGAUGGGAGAAAAAAGAAGGAAUAUCAGCUUCUUUGGAUAAGAUGACCAACUCUUUUAACCGAAUGGUAGAAAAAAUGGAUGGAUGAAGAUAUUCGAGAAGUGUUACGUGAGACGACUUUGAUACAUGGUCUUAAUAGACAACAAUGGGCUAAAGCUAUUAAAUGGUUAGCUGACGAUCCAAAGUCGUUAGCUACCGUGAAAGUCCUCCCAAUUCACAGAAAGACAUUAUGUUUUAACACAACUUGCAGAAUGAAACUUGAUUAUUCUGAGCAAGGAAUAGGGAGGAAUUGCAUUCUUACAAAGCAAGAAAAAAAAUUUAUUAUUCUAAAAUUGUUUGAUUAUGUUGUUUGUUUUGGAUCCUCUAAUUUGCAAAAUAAUUCGGGAAUUAUUAAAUAUUAUAAGUGAAGUGACAUUAAUGUUGAUGAUAUAUGAUUUUAGGUUUUUUAUGGAUUGAAGUAUUUUCUUCCCUUAAGAACAAUGAAAUUAAUAUCAUUUGAAUUUUGUAUGAGAUAAUUGUCCUUAAAUCACUUAUAAAAUUAUUUAAUUCUUCCAUGUCAGGUUAUUCUGAGCAAGGAAUAGGGAGGAAUUGCAUUCUUACAAAGCAAGAAAAAAAAUUUAUUAUUCUAAAAUUGUUUGAUUAUGUUUUUUGUUUUGAAUCCUCUAAUUUGCAAAAUAAUUCGUGAAUUAUUGAAUAUUAUAAGUGAAGUGACAUCAAU